rnacentral:tRNA from 1 species
UCCUCGAUAGCUCAGUCGGUAGAGCUCCGGACUGUUAAUCCGUAGGUCCCUGGUUCGAGCCCAGGUCGAGGAGCCA